CUAACAUAAAUAGGGAUAAGUAGUUGGUUAAAAGUCUGUAGACAGAAAAUAACGUCGCUGUCCCUUUAAGAAACCAGCGUUACAGGUGCAGUGUCUGGGUGACGCUGCAGUACGCAGACCCGAAGGAGAGAGCAGAGGAGGAAUCGGAGAAAAAAAAGAGCGGUGAUUAAUUAACAGAAAAAAGUUAAUAUUUUAGUAAACAAAACAUAAUUUACCUGGUCGGGAACUGACGAGGAUUUUAUGAGAACUAAGCCAUAUCGGUUUUGGUCAGGUUUUUUGUUUGGAUUGGAAGUUUGGUCGGAGCGAGGAUUACCCCUUGCUCACACUGGCUCCGGUGCGGUUACCGAGCCGACGGAGACCGCAACUCCCGCACACCCCCUCUCACUGCCAUGUGCGGCGUGCACAUUCACAGACGGGAUUCAAGAUGGCGAGCCAGACCUAGAACUUCAAUUCAUCUUGUCCAUUGAGGGAGGGACUUUCCCGCGUGUGGUAAUCCCCUGCCAGAGCGGUAGGGAUAUCAGAAACUAGUUUGAACUGAACUAAAAAAGUACUGGAGACUGAUUGAAUUAUUAUUUUUUUUUGGACUGAAUCAAACUGAUUCUUUUCGUCGAACUGAGUGCCUAUAUUUACAUUUGGACUUGAACUUGAAUUUAAAGUGCCAUACUUUGAUUUUCAUAUGUUUAAUUUCUGAAUGUGAUUUGAGUAAUUGUGGUCCACUUGAUUUAACUGUGUUGAAGGUAUUUUGCAACCUGUAAAAGAAAGGAAAAGAGUUAACUCAGGAAAAAUUUAAAUCUUAAAAUAGGUGCAACCUAUGAAAAAGAUACUGGUCUAAUUAAUCCAAAUUAGUCUAAUUAAAAUAUCCUAGGUGAACUAAAGAGCAAAAAGAAAGAGUGAUAUAUUCUUUUUUUUCCUUCUCCCUUUUCCUCCCCAUUUAUACUUACCUCAUUAUUAAGAAUCUGCAGAGUAUUUUUGGUUUCAUGUAUUGUAUUUUAUGUGUGUUUUGCAUUCAUUAAAUUGCCGGCCAUUUUCACUUAA